GAUGAAGAACGUAGCGAAAUGCGAUAAGUAAUGUGAAUUGCAGAAUUCAGUGAAUCAUCGAAUCUUUGAACGCACCUUGCGCUCCUUGGUAUUCCUUGGAGCAUGCCUGUUUGAGUAUCAUGAAAUUCUCAAAGUAAAUCUUUUUGUUAAUUCAAUUAGGUUCACUUUGGAUUUGGAGGUUUUUUGCAGCUUCACACCUGCUCCUCUUUGUGCAUUAGCUGGAUCUCAGUGUUAUGCUUGGUUCCACUCGGCGUGAUAAGUUAUCUAUCGCUGAGGACACUUUUUUUUUGUUUUUUUUCUAAAAAUAAAUAAAUAACUAAGUGGCCAAGGGAAAUGCAGAUGAACCGCUUCCAAUAGUCCAUUAGCUUGGACAAAUAUAUUUUUAUGAUCUGAUCUCAAAUCAGGUAGGACUACCCGCUGAACUUAAGCAUAUCAAUAAGCGGAGGA
rnacentral:misc_RNA from 1 species